rnacentral:sRNA from 1 species
AAAGCAAAACCGUUGUGAGAGGUGAGAGCUGGGCUUGAAGGUUGGAGGGAGUAGCGGAAGGUCCCAGUGAGCUGCAGGGGGUCUCUGUGAUGGAAAGGUGGCUUCCUCAGACCAGGAAGGUGCUGUGAAUGGGGGAAGACAGAAUCCAACAAAGAAAGAGACCACACACCCCACACGCACACAGGCACGUUCACACACACAUACACAGUCCACUUAGCCCAGCACUGCAGUCACUCACAGGGACACACUCAGUCUCAACCCUUCCAUCCCAUACACGGCCAGGGGCGUGGCUCAAAGGAAAUUGACUCAUGCCCUCCAAAGCCAUGGACGACAACAACUCCACACUGGCCUUUGUGUUCAUUCACACCCUCUCAACAAAGCAUACACAUGAACACACACAUGCACACAUACCCACACACACACACACACCACUCGCAUGCAUGGGAAGGGCACCCGUCUAGAAUCCAGGACUGGAUUCCGGAAUUCCUUGCUGCAUGGCCUCUCUGGGCCUUAAUUUUCCCCCAUGUAAGCAUGUGGAUUGACCCAGAGAAGCACGAAAGGCCCAUUCUUGCUCUAUGUAUCUGUGACUUAGGAUCUGCCACCUGCUCCGAGGAUAUGCCAGGGAUGACCAGGACAGCUGCCACCAAGCCCCCAGGCUCAUCAUCAGUCAGCCUCUCAGACACACACACACACACCAUAUACCUCCUCACUGUGCUCCCCGAACCCCUGCCCCCACAUCCAAUGUCAAAGCAAAAAUACACACAUGUGAGCAAACAUAAAGCUGUUCAGGCAAAGACGGGAAAGACGCAGGGGUCCCCAAAGCCCUUCUUCACUUUGUGUUCCCUUGCUGCGAUCAUGGAGAGUUAAAGAGGCUUCCUUGGGAGAAGAGCUCUGCCACCAGGGCUUCCCCAGUGUCUUUGGGGGUCUGUGAAAAAGAGGAUCCUCCGAGGUUUACUGGGAGGGCUCAAGGCUGAGGGAAUGGAGAGGAAAAUUUUAGCAGUUCCAUCCCAGUGUAAGGACCAACCCCAAAAGUUAAACUUGCACCAGACUAAAGGUCAAGGGCAUCCUGUGUUUCUCCCCUUUCUUCCCCAGAGUGACAAGGGCCAGUUCAGACUGACAGAAAUCCAACAGCUUUCCUGAGCUGGAAAUUUCAGAACAGCCUGCAAGUUACUCCCAGGUGACUGAAGGUCAAGGUGAGGCCCCCCUGCCUCUGCCUGCGAGUCUCCCUCCGUUUGCAUUUUUCUUGACACCGGCAUUUCCUGAGGUUGAGCUCUCUGGGGAGUUCUAGAGAAUGGCUAGUAAGGCUUUUUGAGCUUGCACAUCUCACCUGCCUUUCCUGUCUUUUGCCUGGGAAAGGAAAGUUAUUUUCCCAGGUCAGCAAGGGGCAGAACAUCGGCCAGCCCAGCCCAGAAGUACAGGGGGAGGUCAUGGGCCCUGGGGCAGAACAAUGGGAGACAAUUCAAGGUGUGGUAACAACAACCAAGUUGCCCUCAGUCUGGGCAGAAACUGAACUCUACCCCUCUCCCACCCCAAUCUUGCCCGCCAUCCCACCAGAUUCCAGACCUAAAGGGAUCAAGGAUGAGAGCGAAGGAAGAAGGGAGGGGCCCCAAGAAAACCGCACCCAAGCGGGCACUGUCUGAAGAGAAAAACUAGCUCCAGUUCUCUGAAUUCUGGCAGAGCGUCUGGGAAGGCGAUCAGUGCUUCUUUCCAUGGCGCAAGGCCUGGGUUCUGGGUGUGCUUGAAGAAAGCCACUGGGGUGUGGGGUGACAUCGCCAUGGCUGAGAAGGGGCUAGGGGGUCCGGAGGGAAGGAGCCAGGACCGGAACUGCAAGGGCGUUGCUGCCCAGGGGUGUGGAUGAUUGCUCAUGUCCAGCUCAGACCAGUUCAAGAAACUAACCUCCAUUUAUUUUCUUGGUGAGUCCUUUUUUUUUUUUUUUCAGACUGUUAACAGAAAAAAAAUUUUAAAAAGCAGAAAACUGAAAAAAAAAAAUCCUGGUACAUGAAAUAAAGAUUUUUUUUUAU